UGCAAGUCGAACGAUGAAGCCUGGCUUGCUGGGUGGAUUAGUGGCGAACGGGUGAGUAACACGUGAGCAACCUGCCCCUGACUCUGGGAUAAGCGCUGGAAACGGCGUCUAAUACUGGAUAUGUCCCAUCACCGCAUGGUGUGUGGGUGGAAAGAUUUUUCGGUUGGGGAUGGGCUCGCGGCCUAUCAGCUUGUUGGUGAGGUAAUGGCUCACCAAGGCGUCGACGGGUAGCCGGCCCGAGAGGGUGACCGGCCACACUGGGACUGAGACACGGCCCAGACUCCUACGGGAGGCAGCAGUGGGGAAUAUUGCACAAUGGGCGGAAGCCUGAUGCAGCAACGCCGCGUGAGGGAUGACGGCCUUCGGGUUGUAAACCUCUUUUAGCAGGGAAGAAGCGAGAGUGACGGUACCUGCAGAAAAAGCACCGGCUAACUACGUGCCAGCAGCCGCGGUAAU
rnacentral:rRNA from 1 species